AUUAGCACUGCUACAUUUUACUAGAAUAUGAUAGAGGAGUUAUACUGUUAUUCUCCCCUUUGCUUUUUCGCUGAAGCUCGUUUACGGACAACACUUCCCCUGGAACUGGAUCACGAUCACGAAAGAUAAAACCCGAAGGAUAAGAUUUUCAACAGAACCAAAACUCAAGAGCGGUACCCAAAACAAAGAUGUGGUUUGCAAGGGAAGCAGUGGUCAAAUAUCCUGUUCAAACUAAACAGAAUUCUCGUCAGAUCCGUUACUGAUGGACUGACCUGCCAUUGUGUGAUACUGAUAGUGCGCCGAAGGACCUCUCUGACAUGAAAACGGCUAUUUCUGGAAGAUAAUGUACUGCUGGGAAUAAUUUAUACUCUAUGUUAAAUUGUUAAUGGUCUCCUUCUCCUUAAACUGUAAAACAUACACUAUAUAUAG